rnacentral:miRNA from 14 species
UACUGCAGUGUGGGGGCUUGCAG